GACGAACGCUGGCGGCGUGCUUAACACAUGCAAGUCGAGCGGUAAGGCCCUUUCGGGGGUACACGAGCGGCGAACGGGUGAGUAACACGUGGGUGACCUGCCCUUAGCUCUGGGAUAAGCCUGGGAAACUGGGUCUAAUACCGGAUAUGACUCCAUAGCGCAUGUUGUGGGGUGGAAAGCCUUGUGCGGCUAGGGAUGGGCCCGCGGCCUAUCAGCUUGUUGGUGGGGUGAUGGCCUACCAAGGCGACGACGGGUAGCCGGCCUGAGAGGGCGACCGGCCACACUGGGACUGAGACACGGCCCAGACUCCUACGGGAGGCAGCAGUGGGGAAUCUUGCGCAAUGGGCGAAAGCCUGACGCAGCGACGCCGCGUGGGGAUGACGGCCUCGGUUGUAAC
rnacentral:rRNA from 1 species